UGGUGAAGUGACUGAACGAGGUUCCAGGAAAAGCCACUAAGCUUCAGCUAUACACGACCGUACCGCAAACCGACACUGGUGCGCGAGAUGAGUAUUCUAAGGCGCUUGAGAGAACUCAGGAGAAGGAACUCGGCAAAUUGACACCGUAACUUCGGAAGAAGGUGUGCCCUAUUAGUGUGAAGUGAACAACGGAGCAUGAAUGGGUUGCAAAAAAUCGGUGGCUGCGACUGUUUAUUAAAAACACAGCACUCUGCAAACACGAAAGUGGACGUAUAGGGUGUGACGCCUGCCCGGUGCUGGAAGAUUAAAUGAUGGGGUGCAAGCUCUUGAUUGAAGUCCCAGUAAACGGCGGCCGUAACAAUAACGGUCCUAAGGUAGCGAAAUUCCUUGUCGGGUAAGUUCCGACCUGCACGAAUGGCGUAACGAUGGCCACACUGUCUCCUCCUGAGACUCAGCGAAGUUGAAAUGUUUGUGAUGAUGCAAUCUCCCCGCGGAAAGACGGAAAGACCCCAUGAACCUUUACUGUAGCUUUGUAUUGGACUUUGAACAGAUCUGUGUAGGAUAGGUGGGAGGCUUUGAAGCAGGGUCGCUAGAUCUUGUGGAGCCAACGUUGAAAUACCACCCUGGUGUGUUUGAGGUUCUAACCUAGGUCCAUUAUCUGGAUCGGGGACAGUGCAUGGUAGGCAGUUUGACUGGGGCGGUCUCCUCCCAAAGCGUAACGGAGGAGUUCGAAGGUACGCUAGUUACGGUCGGACAUCGUGACGAUAGUGCAAUGGCAUAAGCGUGCUUAACUGCGAGACUGACAAGUCGAGCAGAUGCGAAAGCAGGACAUAGUGAUCCGGUGGUUCUGUAUGGAAGGGCCAUCGCUCAACGGAUAAAAGGUACUCUGGGGAUAACAGGCUGAUACCGCCCAAGAGUUCAUAUCGACGGCGGUGUUUGGCACCUCGAUGUCGGCUCAUCUCAUCCUGGGGCUGUAGCCGGUCCCAAGGGUAUGGCUGUUCGCCAUUUAAAGAGGUACGUGAGCUGGGUUUAAAACGUCGUGAGACAGUUUGGUCCCUAUCUUCCGUGGGCGCUGCAGAUUUGAGGAAGCCUGCUCCUAGUACGAGAGGACCGGAGUGGACACACCUCUGGUGUAUCGGUUGUCACGCCAGUGGCAUUGCCGAGUAGCUAAGUGUGGAAGAGAUAACCGCUGAAAGCAUCUAAGCGGGAAACUCGUUUCAAGAUGAGAUCUGCCGGGGCCUUGAGCCCCCUGAAGAGUCGUUCAAGACCAGGACGUUGAUAGGUCAGGUGUGGAAGCGCAGUAAUGUGUUAAGCUAACUGAUACUAAUUGCUCGUGCGGCUUGACCCU
rnacentral:rRNA from 1 species